rnacentral:rRNA from 1 species
CCGUCNGGCGCUACGAGGUAGGCCUUAUACAUGCUGGUACGCGACGAGGCAGGCCAGCUUGCUCCAGCGUCGAACGGUGUCACGAGGGCGGCUCGCGAUUCGAACCUACCUGUUUGGGGGGAAUAGCCUUUAGAAAUGAAGAUUAAUGCCCCAUAGUAUUGUAGACUGGCAUCAGUUUACAAUUAAAGAUUUAUCGGUAAAAGAUGGCUAUGCGUCCUAUUAGUUAGUUGGUAAGGUAACGGCUUACCAAGACAUCGAUAGGUAGGGGUCCUGAGAGGGAGAUCCCCCACACUGGUACUGAGACACGGACCAGACUCCUACGGGAGGCAGCAGUGAGGAAUAUUGGGCAAUGGAGGAGACUCUGACCCAGCCAUGCCGCGUGUAGGAAGAAUGCCCUAUGGGUUGUAAACUACUUUUAUA